GCCGGAGUGGUGGAAUUGGCAGACGCGCCGGACUCAAAAUCCGGUGGUGCUUGGCACUGUGCGGGUUCAAGCCCCGCCUCCGGCA
rnacentral:tRNA from 2 species